rnacentral:lncRNA from 1 species
AAGGAAGCUACAUCUCCUGCUCUUGAAAGAAAUUAGGAAAGGAAGCUACAUCUCCUGCUCUUGAAAGAAAUGGCCUAAUGAAGAGGUCCUAUGGUGUCCUGUGGGAAAGAGAGAGAGCACAAACAGGGGGAGCUGCAGACAAGGAAGAGGGAGAAGUAGACUCCUUGCAGAGCAGGGAGCCCAGUGAGGGGCUCCAUACCAGGACCCGAGGAUCAUGACCUGAGCUGAAGACAGAUGUUUAACCGACUGAGCCACCAAGGCACCCCAACAGUGUUCACUUCUAAUAAAUUCUGAUGUUUUCAAUGUACUCCUAAAAUACUAGAAUUUUAUUUUACUUCUUACUUUUAGGUCUUUAACUAUGAAUUUGCCUUUUCAUCUAAGUCAAUUCCAAAAUCAGAUAUAUAUCAUUAUGUCCAUUUGUUUAUAAAGGUUAUUAAUUAUGCUGUUCAAAUCAUUCUU